rnacentral:rRNA from 1 species
GUGGGGAAUAUUGGACAAUGGGGGGAACCCUGAUCCAGCCAUGCCGCGUGUGUGAAGAAGGCCUUUUGGUUGUAAAGCACUUUAAGCGAGGAGGAGGCUACCGAGAUUAAUACUCUUGGAUAGUGGACGUUACUCGCAGAAUAAGCACCGGCUAACUCUGUGCCAGCAGCCGCGGUAAUACAGAGGGUGCAAGCGUUAAUCGGAUUUACUGGGCGUAAAGCGCGCGUAGGUGGCCAAUUAAGUCAAAUGUGAAAUCCCCGAGCUUAACUUGGGAAUUGCAUUCGAUACUGGUUGGCUAGAGUAUGGGAGAGGAUGGUAGAAUUCCAUGUGUAGCGGUGAAAUGCGUAGAGAUCUGGAGGAAUACCGAUGGCGAAGGCAGCCAUCUGGCCUAAUACUGACACUGAGGUGCGAAAGCAUGGGGAGCAAACAGGAUUAGAAACCCGAGUAGUCC